AAAAAUUAGAUGGGCGUGGUGGCACAUGCCUGUAGUCCCAGCUACUCAGGAGGCUGAGGUGGGAGAACCGCUUGAAUCCAGGAGGUGGAGGUUGCAGUGAGCCGAGAUCGUGCCACUGCACUCCAGCCUGGUGAGGGAGUGAGAGUCCGUCAAAAACAAAAAAACAAAAAAGAAGUAAUCUUAUCUCUUUACACAGAUGUAAUUUAUUUUAAAUUUUAUUUUGUAAUAGUCUUCAGCAGCAGGCUUGAUCUGAAGCUUCCUAUUCAACUAUUGCAAGAUGGGCAUUGCCUGCUGUAUUUUUUCCACUUCACUCUUUUACCCACUUGGAAUAUAUUUAUGUGAUGAACCUAACCUCAACGCUCACAUUGUCUCCAGACAGGACGUUCUUUCUUACAUAAUUUAGCCCUAUGCUAUUGCUUUGUAAGAGCACCAUGAACUCUUCCCUGAAGUGGGGACUGUGUUGGCCUUUGUAGAUGAGAAAGGCUGGGGACAGGCACAGACACUCAGCAUCUCUCUACCCAACUAAUGACUUGAAGCAACAUUUAUGACCUCACAGUUAGGAACAUGGGCCCUAACUGUGGGGUCAAGCGAUUCUCCAGCCUCAGCCUCCCCAGUAGCUGGGACUGCAGGCGCCCGCCACCACGCCCGGCUAAUUUUUUAUAUUUUUAGUAGAGACAGGGUUUCACCGUGUUAGCCAGGAUGGUCUCAAUCUCCUGACCUUGUGAUCUGCCCGCCUUGGCCUCCCAAAGUGCUGGGAUUACAGGUGUGAGCCACCAUGCCCGGGCCAUAUAUAUUCUAAUACCAUCACUUUGGAGCUUAGGAUUUCAACAUAGGAAUUUCCACAGGGACAGCAACAUUCAGACCAUAGCAAAGGCCUCCUGGAGGCUGCUGCCUCAACUUCAUCAAAACUGCCGCUAAAGCCUCCUGGAGGCUGCUGCCUCAACUGCAUCUUCAGCAGUCUAGGGUGUGUCAGCUCAGGGAUAACAGAAGGCUGCCUUUCAAAGUUGUGUCUCAAUAAGAAGGUCACCGGUUGUGGCUUGUAGAAAGUUUCUUAUUAGUGUUCUUCAGAUAACUAUGAAUGAAAGAAUUCUAGGUGGUUGUUUGGUUUUCUAAAUCUCAUUUAUGAAGAGUUUGCAUUUCUUUUGUGAUUUUGACACACACUGUGUGAUGAAACAGAGUCCUUCUUCAUGCUUGUAAGCUGUGGGUAAGGUAGUCCUACGGGAAUGGGCUUUUAUAAGGACCCGUGGACACCCACUGCUUGGUUUCCUUUUAGGUCCGAUUUCCUGUCUUCUAGGUUUCAUGUUUCUCGUUGAAAUUAAGGGUUGAGAAUAUAGGUAGGUGUAUAUUUAUUUAUCCCUCAAUUCUGGAGAGAAGAAGAUCUGUUUUCAAGGCAUCUGAGCCUCAGAAACUCUACCUUGAAGUCAGUGGUUGUCAAAUAAGGGCAAUUUUGCAAUGUCUGGAGAGAAUUUUGAUUGUCACAACUGGGGAGUGCUGCUGGCACCUCCUGGACUGAGACCAAGGAUGCUGUGGAGCACCCUGAAACAAAGGUCAGCCCCCCAAUGAAGAGUCAUCUAGUCCCAAAUGUCACUAGUACUGCUGCUCCUGGGGUCAAUUUUACCUUCUCCCCUGCCACUGAGAAAGCUGAAGGAAGGAUGAGAGCCCAGGCAUUCAGCCAGACUCCUGGACAUGUGGACCAUGGAAUUACCUGACUAAGGCUGCAGGUUUAAAAAUGCCAUCCAGCUUUAAUUUUUGGAAUGUAAGAAACAAGCAUCAUUAAGAGG
rnacentral:lncRNA from 1 species